CGCUCCCUGGAGGCCCCUCCAGAGAGGGACCCGGGGCCCCGCCCCGCAGCUGGAGAAGGGGUGAAUGCCUUUCCUACCUAACGCCUGGUCCGCGGCCCUGCUUGUUGCGUCUCCAAGACCACGUGUCUGCUGCAUUUUAAAAAUAGUUGUGAACAUCUGACUUUCUCCUUUUACUUUGGAGUUUGCUGAAAUGUAACCUCAGAAUAAGUGGGGUAUGACUGCCCUCUCCUUUGAGGGAAAAGAAAAAGUAUUUUCAGGCCAGGCACGGUGGCUCAUGCUUAUAAUCCCAGCACUUUGGGAGGCUGAGAAUACAUCAAUAAAAGAAGAACAAUUCAAGAGAAACAGGAAAUUCACAGAAGAGGAAACCGGAAUUGUCAUAAACAAAUGAAAAAUGCUCAACUUCCCUAGUAAUUAUGAGAAUUCAAAUCAAAAUAAAGACUUCAUUUCACACUUA
rnacentral:lncRNA from 1 species